UACGUAGGGUGCAAGCGUUAAUCGGAAUUAUUGGGCGUAAAGCGCGUGUAGGCGGCUUUGCAAGUCGGGUGUGAAAGCCCUCGGCUCAACCGAGGAAGUGCGCCCGAAACUGCAGAGCUUGAGUACCGGAGAGGAUGGCGGAAUUCCCCAAGUAGAGGUGAAAUUCGUAGAUAUGGGGAGGAACACCGGUGGCGAAGGCGGCCAUCUGGACGGAUACUGACGCUGAGACGCGAAAGCGUGGGUAGCAAACAGG
rnacentral:rRNA from 1 species